GUCCAGCUGACGAAUGCAACAUUGGACGAAAUGUGUGUGUCCUGGAU
rnacentral:hammerhead_ribozyme from 1 species